rnacentral:rRNA from 1 species
GUUGUAUAGUUAAGUGACUAAGCGUACACGGUGGAUGCCUAGGCAAUCAGAGGCGAAGAAGGACGUGCUAAUCUGCGAAAAGCUUGGAUGAGUUGAUAAGAAGCGUUUAAUCCAAGAUAUCCGAAUGGGGAAACCCGAUGGAUGAAGAAUCCAUCAUUUCAUUGUGAAUCCAUAGCAAUGAAAAGCAAACCGGGAGAACUGAAACAUCUAAGUACCCCGAGGAAAAGAAAUCAACCGAGAUUUUGUGAGUAGCGGCGAGCGAAAGCGAAAGAGCCAGUUAGUGAUAGCAGCAAAGACAGAAGAAUUGGCUGGGAAGCCAAGCGACACAGGGUGAUAGCCCCGUAUUCGAAGUGUUUGUUGUGGUACUAGGCUAACAAUAAGUAGGGCGGGACACGAGAAAUCCUGUUUGAAGAUGGGGGGACCAUCCUCCAAGGCUAAAUACUCCUGAUUGACCGAUAGUGAACCAGUACUGUGAAGGAAAGGCGAAAAGAACCCCAGUGAGGGGAGUGAAAUAGAACCUGAAACCGUGUACGUACAAGCAGUGGGAGCCCGCAAGGGUGACUGCGUACCUUUUGUAUAAUGGGUCAGCGACUUAUAUUUUGUAGCGAGGUUAACUGAAUAAGGGAGCCGAAGGGAAACCGAGUCUUAACUGGGCGAAUAGUUGCAAGGUAUAGACCCGAAACCCGGUGAUCUAGCCAUGGGCAGGUUGAAGGUUGGGUAACACUAACUGGAGGACCGAACCGACUAAUGUUGAAAAAUUAGCGGAUGACUUGUGGCUGGGGGUGAAAGGCCAAUCAAACCGGGAGAUAGCUGGUUCUCCCCGAAAUCUAUUUAGGUAGAGCCUUGAGCGGACACCUUCGGGGGUAGAGCACUGUUUCGGCUAGGGGUCCAUCCCGGAUUACCAACCCGAUGCAAACUGCGAAUACCGAAGAGUGAUACUCAGGAGACACACGGUGGGUGCUAACGUCCAUCGUGGAGAGGGAAACAACCCAGACCGCCAGCUAAGGUCCCAAAGUACUAGUUAAGUGGGAAACGAAGUGGGAAGGCUUAGACAGCUAGGAUGUUGGCUUAGAAGCAGCCACCAUUUAAAGAAAGCGUAAUAGCUCACUAGUCGAGUCGGCCUGCGCGGAAGAUGUAACGGGGCUAAAACUAGUCACCGAAGCUGCGGCAUCAGUCGAAAGACUGUUGGGUAGGGGAGCGUUGUGUAAGCGGAUGAAGAUGGAUUGAGAAGUCUGUUGGACGUAUCACAAGUGCGAAUGCUGACAUAAGUAACGAUAAAACGAGUGAAAAACUCGUUCGCCGGAAGACCAAGGGUUCCUGUCCAACGUUAAUCGGGGCAGGGUGAGUCGGCCCCUAAGGCGAGGCUGAAAAGCGUAGUCGAUGGGAAACGGGUUAAUAUUCCCGUACUUGGAUAAACUGCGAUGUGGGGACGGAGAAGGUUAGGUUAGCAGACUGUUGGAUGUCUGUUUAAGUUGGUAGGUGGGAAGUUUAGGCAAAUCCGGACUUCCUUAACACUGAGAGAUGAUGACGAGUCUCUACGGAGAUGAAGUAACUGAUACCACGCUUCCAGGAAAAGCCACUAAGCUUCAGGUUUAUCUAAACCGUACUGAAAACCGACACAGGUGGUCAGGUAGAGAAUACUCAGGCGCUUGAGAGAACUCGGGUGAAGGAACUAGGCAAAAUAGCACCGUAACUUCGGGAGAAGGUGCGCUGGCGUAGGUUGUAGGGAUUUACUCCCGAAGGCUGAACCAGUCGAAGAUACCAGCUGGCUGCAACUGUUUAUUAAAAACACAGCACUCUGCAAACACGAAAGUGGACGUAUAGGGUGUGAUGCCUGCCCGGUGCUGGAAGGUUAAUUGAUGGUGUUAUCGAAAGAGAAGCUCCUGAUCGAAGCCCCAGUAAACGGCGGCCGUAACUAUAACGGUCCUAAGGUAGCGAAAUUCCUUGUCGGGUAAGUUCCGACCUGCACGAAUGGCAUAAUGAUGGCCAGGCUGUCUCCACCCGAGACUCAGUGAAAUUGAAAUCGCCGUGAAGAUGCGGUGUACCCGCGGCUAGACGGAAAGACCCCGUGAACCUUUACUAUAGCUUGACACUGAACAUUGAAUUUUGAUGUGUAGGAUAGGUGGGAGACUAAGAAGCAGUGACGCCAGUCAUUGUGGAGUCGUCCUUGAAAUACCACCCUUUAACGUUUGAUGUUCUAACGAAGAUUGCGGAACGCGGUCUCGGACAGUGUCUGGUGGGUAGUUUGACUGGGGCGGUCUCCUCCCAAAGAGUAACGGAGGAGCACGAAGGUUUGCUAAUCACGGUCGGACAUCGUGAGGUUAGUGCAAUGGUAUAAGCAAGCUUAACUGCGAGACAGACAAGUCGAGCAGGUGCGAAAGCAGGUCAUAGUGAUCCGGUGGUUCUGAAUGGAAGGGCCAUCGCUCAACGGAUAAAAGGUACUCCGGGGAUAACAGGCUGAUACCGCCCAAGAGUUCAUAUCGACGGCGGUGUUUGGCACCUCGAUGUCGGCUCAUCACAUCCUGGGGCUGAAGUAGGUCCCAAGGGUAUGGCUGUUCGCCAUUUAAAGUGGUACGCGAGCUGGGUUUAGAACGUCGUGAGACAGUUCGGUCCCUAUCUGCCGUGGGCGUUGGAGAAUUGAGAGGGGCUGCUCCUAGUACGAGAGGACCGGAGUGGACGCAUCACUGGUGUACCAGUUGUCUCGCCAGAGGCACUGCUGGGUAGCUAAAUGCGGAAGAGAUAAGUGCUGAAAGCAUCUAAGCACGAAACUCGCCUUAAGAUGAGUUCUCCCAGUCUAUAAGACUGUAAGGGUUGUUGGAGACUACGACGUAGAUAGGUCUGGUGUGUAAGUGUAGUGAUACAUUGAGCUAACAGAUACUAAUUGCCCGAGCGGCUUAACUAUACAACCUCA